UGACUGACUGAGUGCCAGCAGCCGCGGUAAAACGUAGGUCACGAGCGUUGUCCGGAAUUACUGGGUGUAAAGGGAGCGCAGGCGGGUAUGCAAGUUGGGAGUGAAAUACAUGGGCUCAACCCAUGAACUGCUCUCAAAACUGUGUAUCUUGAGUAGUGCAGAGGUAGGCGGAAUUCCCGGUGUAGCGGUGGAAUGCGUAGAUAUCGGGAGGAACACCAGUGGCGAANGCGGCCUACUGGGCACCAACUGACGCUGAGGCUCGAAAGUGUGGGUAGCAAACAGGAUUAGAUACCCUGGUAGUCCACACCGUAAACGAUGAUCACUAGGUGUUGGAGGAUAGACCCCUUCAGUGCCGCAGUUAACACAAUAAGUGAUCCACCUGGGGAGUACGACCGCAAGGUUGAAACUCAAAGGAAUUGACGGGGGCCCGCACAAGCAGUGGGAGUAUGUGGUUUAAUUCGACGCAACGCGAAAGAACCUUACCAAAGUCUUGACAUCCUCUGGCGAAUACAAGAAAUGUG
rnacentral:rRNA from 1 species